rnacentral:lncRNA from 1 species
GGCUGGAAGGACCCAAUUCCUUCUUUCUGUGUACCCUGUGGUCUGCCCUUUGAAGUGAAAGAAAAUUCUGUACUCAGCGCAGCUUUAUAAGAUGUCAAUUUAAGAUGAACAAUGCAUACAAGUUUCUGUAUAUCCUUUUAGCUUAGAAACAGAUGCAGACUUACAGAAAACAAACCAAAAAAGCCAGAAUUAUGCAAUUUAUUUUGAGAUUUUGUGAGCUCCUCAGAUAACAUAUUAAGUCAAAAUUUCUGGAUAAGAUAAUUUUUUUGGCCACAUCACUAUCAAAACAUCAAUCACUUCAGCUUUAAUACCUUUUAGAAUUUGGGGGAGGGGUGUUAGUUUGGGUGAUGAAUGGAGAGACAGAAGACAAUGAGAAUGAAAUUCUGCAGAAAUAAGCUCACUCGCAGCUUCUUGAGGAGUUCCCUAUGACCAACCA